GGAAUUGACGGGACCGCACAAGCGGUGGAUGAUGUGGUUUAAUUCGAUGCAACGCGAAAAACCUUACCUACACUUGACAUGCCAGAAAUCCUGCAGAGAUGUGGGAGUGCCGCAAGGAAUCUGGGCACAGGUGCUGCAUGGCUGUCGUCAGCUCGUGUCGUGAGAUGUUGGGUUAAGUCCCCGCAACGAGCGCAACCCUUGUCACUAGUUGCUACAUUUAGUUGGGCACUCUAGUGAGACUGCCGGUGACAAACCGGAGGAAGGUGGGGAUGACGUCAAGUCCUCAUGGCCCUUAUGUGUAGGGCUACACACGUCAUACAAUGGUCGGUACAGAGGGUUGCCAACCCGCGAGGGGGAGCUAAUCUCACAAAGCCGAUCGUAGUCCGGAUCGCAGUCUGCAACUCGACUGCGUGAAGUCGGAAUCGCUAGUAAUCGUGGAUCAGCAUGUCACGGUGAAUACGUUCCCGGGUCUUGUACACACC
rnacentral:rRNA from 1 species